rnacentral:rRNA from 1 species
AACGAACGCUGGCGGCGUGGAUAAGACAUGCAAGUCGAACGGGAUUACUUUUGUAGCAAUACAGAAGUAAUUCAGUGGCGAACGGGUGCGUAACACGUGGGCAAUCUGCCGAAAAGUGGGGGAUAGCUCGCCGAAAGGCGAAUUAAUACCGCAUGUGGUGAGGGACGACAUCUUCCUGAAUCCAAAGCCGGGGCAACCUGGCGCUUUUUGAGGAGCCCGCGGCCUAUCAGCUUGUUGGUGAGGUAACGGCUCACCAAGGCUUUGACGGGUAGCUGGUCUGAGAGGACGACCAGUCACACUGGAACUGAGACACGGUCCAGACGCCUACGGGUGGCAGCAGUCGAGAAUUUUUCUCAAUGGGGGAAACCCUGAAGGAGCGACGCCGCGUGGAGGAUGAAGGCUUUCGGGU